CCUAGCUAUAAACGAUGAUGCUAGGUGUGGGGUCGAGAAAGACUCCGUGCCGGAGCCAACGCGAUAAGCAUCCCGCCUGGGGACUACGGCCGCAAGGCUAAAACUCAAACGAAUUGACGGGGCCCCGCACAAGCAGCGGAGCGUGUGGUUCAAUUCGAUGCUACACGAAGAACCUUACCUGGGUUUGACAUGGAGGUGGUAGGGAAGCGAAAGCGGACCGACCCUUCGGGGAGCCUUCACAGGUGCUGCAUGGCUGUCGUCAGCUCGUGCCGUGAGGUGUCGGGUUAAGUCCCGUAACGAGCGCAACCCUUGCCCUUAGUUACAAGUGUCUAAGGGGACUGCCGGCGGUAAGCCGGAGGAAGGUGGGGAUGACGUCAAGUCAGCAUGGCCCUUAUAUCCAGGGCUACACACACGCUACAAUGGUCGGUACAAAGGGCAGCGAAGCCGCGAGGUGAAGCGAAUCCCAUCAAAGCCGAUCGUAGUUCGGAUUGCAGGCUGCAACUCGCCUGCAUGAAGCUGGAGUUGCUAGUAACCGCGCGUCAGCCAUAGUGCGGUGAAUACGUUCCCGGGGCUUGUACACACCGCCCGUCACGUCAUGGGAGUCGGUAACACCUGAAGCCGGUGGCUCAACUCGCAAGAGGGAGUGCCGUCUAAGGCGGGGCUGGCAACUGGGACGAAGUCGUAACAAGGUAAC
rnacentral:rRNA from 1 species